UACGGGGGGAGCAAGCGUUGUUCGGAUUUACUGGGCGUAAAGGGCGCGUAGGCGGCCAGCACAAGUCAGUUGUGAAAUCUCCGAGCUUAACUCGGAACGGUCAACUGAUACUGUGCGGCUAGAGUGCAGAAGGGGCAACUGGAAUUCUUGGUGUAGCGGUGAAAUGCGUAGAUAUCAAGAGGAACACCUGCGGCGAAGGCGGGUUGCUGGGCUGACACUGACGCUGAGGCGCGAAAGCGUGGGUAGCAAACAGG
rnacentral:rRNA from 1 species